rnacentral:rRNA from 1 species
AAUAGAUACCCCGGGUAGUCCAUGCCGUAAACGAUGUCUACUAGCCGUUGGGGCCUUUGAGGCUUUAGUGGCGCAGCUAACGCGAUAAGUAGACCGCCUGGGGAGUACGGUCGCAAGACUAAAACUCAAAUGAAUUGACGGGGGCCCGCACAAGCGGUGGAGCAUGUGGUUUAAUUCGAUGCAACGCGAAGAACCUUACCUGGCCUUGACAUACUAAGAACUUUCCAGAGAUGGAUUGGUGCCUUCGGGAACUUAGAUACAGGUGCUGCAUGGCUGUCGUCAGCUCGUGUCGUGAGAUGUUGGGUUAAGUCCCGCAACGAGCGCAACCCUUUUCCUUAUUUGCCAGCGGGUAAUGCCGGGAACUUUAAGGAUACUGCCAGUGACAAACUGGAGGAAGGCGGGGACGACGUCAAGUCAUCAUGGCCCUUACGGCCAGGGCUACACACGUGCUACAAUGGUCGGUACAAAGGGUUGCUACCUCGCGAGAGGAUGCUAAUCUCAAAAAGCCGAUCGUAGUCCGGAUCGCAGUCUGCAACUCGA